ACAGGAGCAGCUUCAUCUCUGCAGCCCAACUGGUCUCCAAAGGUCUCAGACUCUUUCUAACUGGUCUCCAAAGGUCUCAGAAUAUUUCUAACUGGUCUCCAAAGGUCUCAGACUAUUUCUAACUGGUCUCUGAAGGUCUCAGACUCUUUCUUACUGGUCUCCAAAGGUCUCAGACUAUUUCUAACUGGUCUCUGAAGGUCUCAGACUCUUUCUUACUGGUCUCCAAAGGUCUCAGACUAUUUCUAUCUGGUCUCCAAAGGUCUCAGACCCUUUCUAACUGGUCUCCAAAGGUCUCAGACCCUUUCUAACCUGUCUUAGCUGCAUUAUCCAUCCAGAGAAGAGGAAUGUGUUGCUGCAGAGUCUGCU
ensembl:lncRNA